GAAACCUGGUUCUAGAACCCAGUGCAGAAAAAUUAACAAUAUUGCCAGCUAUUAACCAUUCCCAGGGCUGUGGAACAAGUAAAUUGAAUAAGGAAGGAAAAAUGAUUCCACUCGAUUGGCCUUUCCGGGAAUCCAGGUGUGUUGGGGGCCUUUGCGGCAGGAACAGUGUGAGUGCGAAAUGCGAUGUGGUAACAGACCUGUUCUAUCCCCUCCUGGACUCACCCCCUCCCCUCCCUGUCUUGCUGAAUGAAAUAAAACCGGGCUUGACCUCCUGUUUCAGUGUCUGAAUAUUCUUUCCAUUCAUCUAGGUGAGGAAAGGAGGAAACCAUUUACGCCCUAGUCCUAAAAAAGUUUGGAGAAGCCU
rnacentral:lncRNA from 1 species